rnacentral:rRNA from 1 species
CGUGAAGUUGGAAUUGCUAGUAAUCGCGGAUCAGCAUGCCGCGGUGAAUACGUUCCCGGGCCUUGUACACACCGCCCGUCACACCAUGGAAGUCGGUAAUGCCCGAAGUCAGUAGCCUAACCGCAAGGAGGGCGCUGCCGAAGGCAGGAUUGAUGACUGGGGUGAAGUCGUAACAAGGUACC